rnacentral:pre_miRNA from 12 species
AUCCUAAAAGUCCUCUAGCCAAUCAGAAAUGAGCUUAUUCAUAAAAGUACAGUAUGAUCCAGUAAACCUGUAAUUUUAUGUAUAAGCUAGUCUCUGAUUGAAACAUGCAACAAAUGUCUUC